rnacentral:rRNA from 1 species
UAGAGAAUCUUGUGCAAUAAACGAAAGUAUGACACAGAGAGGACACAUUUAAUUGAGCCCGUCAAAUUAAGUGCCAGCCGACGCGGUUAAACUUAAGGGCUGGUCUUUAUAAGUAAAAAGGCGUAAAGGAUGUGUAGGCCAAGAAACGACCCAAGUAGGUAAAUGGAAUUUUUCUGGAGCGGUAGAAUGUGAGAAUAGAAAAUAGAACCCCUAAGGUAAAAACUAUUUACCACAAGGUAGGCUGAAACAUGAGAGUGUGGGGAGCAAACAGGAUUAGAGACCCUGGUAGUCCACACUGUGAACUUUGAAGAUGAUGCUUAGCAAACCCGAAAGGUAAAAUCUUCCGCCUGAGUAGUACGAUCGCAAGAUUAAAAUUCAAAAACUUUGGCUGUUCACUAUUUCGAUUAGAGGAGCGUGUAGUUUAAUUCGAUGGUCCGCGUGUUACCUUACCCCAACUUGAAUCUGUGACCGGUAUUGCAUGGCCGUCGUAAGUUCGUGUAUUAAGCUAGAAGGGACCCAACCCGGGCAUUUGCCCGGAGGAAGUCAGGUCUUAUGAUCCGAAUGUUGGGGGAUUUUAUGCGCUACAUUUUCUUAUAUAAUGAGAAACCUGGAAGGUGAGUCUCUAAAGUAAGAGUUCGGAAGGUCGCUGUAAGACGACUGGAAGUUGGAUUUAAUAGUAAUCGGAAAGUAGGGCGUUCCGGUGAAUUGGUACAAGUGUUAGCACAAAUUGCCCGUCACCUUUACUUAGAAUGGUUAUUCGGAUGUCUUCGGUGAUUAUGAAUGCCUACGAAGUAAAGCAAGUCGUAACAUAG